AAUAGCGUUAUUAUAAGUAUUGAAUGUCUCUGUCAGGAUAUCGUUAUGAUCGCGAUCCAACUUUUCUUCUUUUCUUUUAUUAUUUAUAAUACGGUAAAUUUCCGUUAGGGAUGAAUGCAAUCUCUCUAUUGGAGAAUCGCUCGAAGAUUGUUGAAAAGAAGAGACGUGUAGUUGACUGUUGUAUUGCUUGCAGAAGUCUUUUAAAAUUUUUCCUGAAAAUUCCGCACCCUGAUCACAUAUCAUUUUCUCCGGAAUGCCGAAAGAGGCGAAAAACUUCUCAUAGAUUUCCCAAUAUUUAAGCUGUCCUGGUGUAUCCGGUCGCAAACUUUGAAAAUUUAUCGAUAAUCGUUAGAAUGGUGUUGUCAUUGAUCUCUAUAUAUAAAACUGUUUGUCCUGACUGACUGACUGACUGAUUGGUGAUCACCGCACAGCCUAAACCGUAAGAGCUAGGAAGCUGAAAUUUUCACUGUAGUUACCUUAUGUGAUGUAGGUGCACGUUAAGACGGGGUUUCGGGAAAUUCCAAUCGCAAGUAUGGAAAAAUCGAGAAAAAGGUUUGUAUGUAACUUUUUUGUUUACCAUCCGAUCGGCCUCAAACUUAUUUUAAACGAUCCUUGUUCAAAUUCAUUUGAGGGGUUUUUCACACUUUUAGGAAAAUCCAUUCCUCCUUGAUGGAAAUGGAGGUCAAAGAUUUGGUGGGUGACGUUUCGCGCUCAAAUUCAUUUCCAGAGAUCUAUAUGAAAAAUCAUUUGAGACGUGUUGCACACUUUUCGCAGAAUUCAAACUUCUUCGGGGGGAAUGCGAUUUACAGAUUUUUUGGGCGAAGUUUUAAGUUGUGUCCGAUUUGCUUCAAACUUAUUUUCAAAGCUCUACAUAAGAACUUAAUAAAUACGUAUAUCAGCGAUUUGGGAAUUUCCACCCGCAACAGUGGUAAAUUGGCGGAAAACGGUUAUAUGAAAGUUUUUUGUUUACCAUUCGAUCGGCCCCAAGCUUAUUUUCAAAGAUCUAUGUUCAAAUUCAUUUGAGGGGUGUUUCACACUUUUUGAAAAGUCCAUUCCUCCUUGGUGGAAAUGGGGGUCGAAGAUUUGGUGGAUAACGUUUUGUGUUCAAAUUUAUUUCCAAAGAUCUAUAAGAAAAAUCAUUUGAGACGUGUUUCACAUUUUUCGCACUCUAAACUCCUUCGGUGGAAAAUGCAUUUUAAUCAGUUUCAAAGCUUUUUGAUACAUUGAUUUUAUAACAUACUUGCCGCGGGCGAGGCCGGGUUAUAACCGCUAGUAGUAUAUAAAUCUAUGUGUAUGAUUUGCAUUGGUCUUGCUGGGGUUUCGGUUUCUUGGUAAAUUAGCUUUUGCGGCUGUCUAUUAUAUUUUAGUGUUUGACAUAUAUCGCAAUCAUUGAUAAUGGCGGCCACUUGUUGCGGAACUGCUUGUUUCUCAGUGGGCCGCGCCGGCUGGCUCAUCGGUUUCUCUGGGUGUAGUCCCAUCCCUGGCCCGCAGUACGCACAAUCGAUAUCAACAAAACUACAACGUCUGUAGCGAAACAUACCUAUACAACACUAAAUGAACCACAUAAUCGAUAAGAACAAACAAUCGGAACUUCUAACAAAUGAACAACACUAACAGCUGUAACAACAAGCUGUAACACCCCUACAAUUACCUUCACUCGUCUCCCUCGUUUUGGCCACUUGUCGGCCUAUAUCAGCCCGUGUCGUUAACAAUUAAUGUUUCUUAUUUCUAUCUAUUUAUCAAGGUAUCUCCAUUUGGUUAUUUAUUCUACGAAAGCUGACAUUGUCUUCGGUUCGUCAACCGACUUUAAAAACUUUACUUUAAAAACAUUAAAUGGAACAGGCGACGAAAACUGCAAAGUUAUUUCCCGUCGCCGCAAAAAAAGAAAACAAGAGGGCAAUCAUGAGGCAAUCGUGGCACGUAUGUCACGAUAAUCAGUCGUGCAACAGGCGCAUACGCAUAACCUUUGGAGUUUCCCCUCACUGUUCGCACUCUAAAGUGAAGCUUGGCGGAGCACAAUCUGGAGUCUAUGUCUGACUCUGCCAAUGACUCGAACGAAGAGGGGCGAAAUGGAACAGAGUCACUCGUAGGAUGUGUGGCCGACACUUCGCUGUGGGAGCCCGGUCGUUGGUGGCUCGUCUCGCCGUCUUAGGGUUGCGCCGAGGUACGUAUGACGCGGAUAAUUCUGACAUGCACCGCGGAUAUGGCUGACGUGCGCCGCUGAGCCAAAUCCUGGCCUUUUGGGGUGACCUGCUGAUCACUCUGGUCCGAGAACUGGUCCCUUCGUCGUCGGAACUGGGAGUCGUUUUUAUUUAUUAAGUGUCUCAGGGUUUUUACGAGUUCAUCACGUGUCGCACUUAAGUUGUAAGUCUUUCUAAUUUUUUUGUGUGUAUGGUGACCCAAAUGGUUGAAUCUACGUUUAUUUAUUAAAUUGAAAACACAAAACAAAGAUUUUACUUGUUUGUUAAAUUUUUUUGUUUGUACGCGCCGGCUGAACUUGCCGGAUGGAAAAACUCGAAUAUUCAGAGCCGACAUGCAAAACUGGAACUUUACGCUCGCUUCGAGCUGGCACGGCCGCCGUUGACCGCUGAUCAAUUCGAACUCCCGGCUGUACAUUUGGGCAGCAACAUCGGUGCCGAAUUUCGGCACCGUUACUGUCCAUCUGAACAGCUGCAUUUUUUUUGGGUCAACGGCCCAAAUGAAGGCCAAGGGUAUA